CACACACACACACACACACACACACACACACACACACACACACACAUACAGACCAUCUCGUAUGGAAGGGUUAUUUGAUGUCAGUUGGUGUGGACCUGUUGGGGGGGUUCAGAGGGGACAGACAGAUGACAGCAGAUGCUCAGAGGAGGCCUCAGCAGCUCUGAAAUGGCGGAGAGGGGAACAAGGCUGAGCUGGGAGGGAAUCAAAGCCCGGAGCGGAGCCUGAGCUCAGGAUGGAUCUGGAGUCUGAUCGCCUUUUCAAUUAGACUGUUUCCAGACAAACUGAAGUCUGACAUGUUCCUCACAUGUUCCUCACAUGUUCCUCACAUGUUCCUCACACGUUCUGCAGGUUCUCUAUGUGAGAACUAAUGUCUGAGUCAGUGUCUCUGGACAUGUUCUGGAUCUUCUCCUGCAGCCUCCUGGUAAAAUGUGUGUAACAUGUCAGAGUGAGUCCAUGUGAGGAACCAGCAGGACAAUGUGUGGAAGCUUCCCAGAGAGCGAGUGGAGGAGAGUAGAGGUUGAAGACGUCCACUUGGAAACACGAGGAGAUUCCAGAUCUUCUGGUGAUGAGGGCCGACGCCGGUGUGGAUGAGCUGUAAACAACAACACUGAUCUUUCCACAGCAGAGUUUAUAUGUCAGGUCCCGCCUCCGGCUGCUCUACAGGCUCCGCCCCUCGCCUGGAGGUUGUGAAUGAGUCGGACCUGACAACCUGCUGCUGCUGCUUCACAAACACCAACUACACAAAGUAGCAGCACGAAUCUCUGUCUGUCUUACUGACGUCUCUCAGUGGACGUCUGCUCACCACCUGAAGAUUAACCUUGACAAGACUGAACUAUUUGUCAAGAGACAGAAGAAACUAAACAAAAUGUUGAAGCAGAAGAACGACACGAAGGAAACCCGGAGUGGCCAAUCAGAUCCCUUCUAAACAAAGCGACCUGUGACUCCUCCCCCAGCGAGUCCCUGAGUGAAACAUGAGGUGGAAAACAUCAGUUUAGAUCAAAGAUAAAUCUUCAGGAGACUUCGAGGACGUCCGAGUCUCUUUCACAUGUUCAGUCUGGACAGGACGACCCGGUCUCUCACUGUCAGGACGUUUUUAAUCAUUUACAUUUCCUGUAAAAUACUUGUGAAGAAGUCAGAACUGUUCUUAUCUCCCCCAGGGGCAGAGACAGUCCUCUGUACAUGGACUCACUCAGGGUCCAGCAGCAGCUCAGCUUCUUCCUGCUCAGGAUGAAAAACAAAUAUUUGCCGUCAGUUGGUUUCAGGGCGGAAAUGUGAGGUAUGAGGAAGUGCUGGUGUGGACGAGCUGCAGGAGCCGGCCUGCAGGCCUGAAGCAUGUCGGCUGAGAUCACUCUGCACACUUCCUGUUUCUCUCCCACAGCUUCACGUUGUUUGUUGGAUCCGUGAACGAGGAACUCUGAGCAGCCGUUUGUUCAACAUCCUGUUCACACUCGUUUCUAAUCCAGUUUCUCUUCACAUCUCAAACUUUAGAGUUCUGCUGGUUGGACUGAUCCCUGGUUACUGAAGCUUCAUGUUUCAGCUGUUUAUUUAUAUAUAUAUAUAUAUAAAUAUAUUCCUUCCAUCUACAAAUAUAUAGUGUUUAACACGGUUUAAAGAAUCUUUGCAGAUUUUAUCAUGAAGAGAAACAAACUGCAGCUGCAGCUCGACCUCAGAGACUGAGCUGAUCAAUCUAUCUGACCUCUUCCUCCACACACACACACACACA